rnacentral:rRNA from 1 species
GGAUGAACGCUGGCGGCGUGUCUAAGGCAUGCAAGUCGAUCGCUGAACUUCGCUUCGGUGGAGCUAGGCGAGGCAAACGGGAGAGUAAUACAUUGGUAAUCUACCCCGAGGACGAGGAUAACCCUGCGAAAGCGGGGAUAAUCCUCGAUAAAAGUGGGGGCCAUAAGGCCAUCCACUUAAAGCUCCGGCGCCUCGGGAGGAGCCUAUGUCCUAUCAGCUAGUUGGUGAGGUUAAGGCUCACCAAGGCAACGACGGGUAGCGGGGGUGAGAGCCCUGUCCGCCUCACUGGGACUGAGACACUGCCCAGACUCCUACGGGAGGCUGCAGUCAAGAAUCUUCCUCAAUGGCCGCAAGGCUGAAGGAGCGACGCCGCGUGCAUGAUGAAGCCCUUCGGGGUGUAAAGUGCUUUUAACCGGGACGAACGAUGACGGUACCGGUUGAAUAAGGGGCUGCCAAUCUCGUGCCAGCAGCAGCGGUAACACGAGAGCCCCAAGCGUUAUCCGGAUUUACUGGGCGUAAAGGGUCCGUAGGCGGUUUGCCACAUCUCUUGAUAAAUCCUUUGGCUCAACCGAAGGACUUCAGGGGAAAUGGGCAAACUAGAGGCCGGAAAAGGCAAGCGGAAUUGCCGGUGUAGGGGUUAAAUCCGUUAAGAUCGGCAAGAACACCGAAUGCGAAGGCAGCUUGCUAGGACGGUCCUGACGCUGAGGGACUAAAGCGUGGGGAGCGAAGGGGAUUAGAUACCCCCGUAGUCCACGCCGUAAACAUUGGAUGCUAGGCAUUGGGAGUCAUCGACCCUCUCAGUGCCGGUUUAGGUAACCCGUUAAGCAUCCCGCCUGGGGAGUACGAGCGCAAGCUUAAAACUCAAAGGAAUAGACGGGGACCCGCACAAGCGGUGGAGCACGUGGUUUAAUUCGAUAAUGAGCGUGAGACCUCACCAAGGCUUGACAUCCUGCUGCAAGCUCUGGAAACAGAGUUCCCUGCGAGGGUGCAGGACAGGCGCUGCAUGGUUGUCGUCAGCUCGUGUCGUGAGAUGUUCCGUUAAGUCGGGAAACGAGCGAAACCCCUGCCCUAAGUUUCAAGUGUCUUAGGGGACUGCCCGCUAUAAGCGGGAGGAAGGAGGGGACGACGUCAAAUCAGCAUGGCCCUUAAGUCUUGGGCAACACACGUGCUACAAUGGGGAG